rnacentral:piRNA from 1 species
UCAGUUAAUAAUAGAUGGAGCGCUGGUCU